UACGUAGGGCGCAAGCGUUGUCCGGAAUUAUUGGGCGUAAAGAGCUCGUAGGCGGCUUGUCACGUCGGGUGUGAAAGCCCCGGGGCUUAACCCCGGGUCUUGCAUUCGAUACGGGCAGGCUAGAGUGUGGUAGGGGAGAUCGGAAUUCCUGGUGUAGCGGUGAAAUGCGCAGAUAUCAGGAGGAACACCGGUGGCGGAAGGCGGAUCUCUGGGCCAUUACUGACGCUGAGGAGCGAAAGCGUGGGGAGCGAACAGG
rnacentral:rRNA from 1 species